AGAAGCUCGCAAUUCACUUUGGUACAAGAAAAAGUUUUUAUUGAAUUAGUCAAUGUGUGAAUCUUUAUAACCGUGAUAUUUAUUUUUGUUAGGGUAUUUUUGAUUAUUUGUUUUGGGGAGAUUUUUUAAAUUUUAUCAAGUGUGAAAGUAAGACAGAGGAAAGUAACUGUCCAAUGACACAAAAUAAGGCAAAUGCAGAGCCAAGAUUCAGGACAGAGUCACAUGAUUCUGGAACCUCUCGUGGCUUCUUUGCCACAAAGACACACGUGCAUCAUAAGUCCCGGUUUGCGUCACAAACACAUGCUGUAACAGGUGAGGGAAGCACCCCCUGAGGAACCAACAGGCAGAGGAGCCGGAAGCAAGUUGGCACAGAAGAGUGAAAAGUCAGAGGCAUAAACUGUCUCAGAUAAAAUUUGUUUGCUCCAAGUGGAGCAGCACCCGAAUGAAGUAUAGUUAUGAUCAGAAAAGAACUGGCAGUUUCCAGAUAUUCACAUACCAGAAACAGAGACUGAGAAAGUCGGAGGAGCUAGUAGCCAAGUUGGCACUGUCUUUUAUCUGGACAUGAUCCUACAAGAAAAUGCUUGUUUUAGUGUAUUUAGUAAUUGAAUUUAAUCUCCUGAAAUAUGUCCAAUUUUCUCCUGAAAUAUGUCCAAUUUAAAAUGCAAAAAUGGAAAGAUCAUUUUUUGAACAGUUCAGCAAUUAACUAAUUAAAAUGAAUUAGAAACUUG